UAAGCCUUCGAAUGAGGAUUAGGUUGGUCGGGCAGCACAGGAUGCCGCCGCCGCCACCAUCAGGAGGCCAUCCCGCGCCGCCGUGCGCCGGUCCCGUCGCCGUCUGGUCACCGGUUCACAGCCGCUCCCCCAUCGACGCUGACGCCAUGAGAUGGUGCUCCCGCGUGGACUCCCGUUGGUCCGAUCGCCCGACGACCGUCGGUCCGUAGCAGCCGUCGCAAGCUGCUCCCCCAUCAACGGCGUCGCCGUCAGACGCCGCACCCGCGUCGACUCCGAUUGACUCACUCGCCGCCGCCGGACACCCACCUAUUCAGCUAUCGCGUCGCGCGGCUCUGCAACGCCAUCGUGGUGCCCGUGGGAUACCGGCUCGCCCCGGAGAGCAGGUACCCCGCCGCGUUCGAGGACGGGGUCACGGUGCUCAAAUGGAUCGCCACGCAGGCCAACCUCGCCGCGUGCGGGCGGACGAUGGCGAGGGGGGGCGGGCUCCGGCGGGGCCGAUUCGUUCGGCGCGGCCAUGGUCGAGGCGUGGAUAGCUGCCAACGCUGAUCCAUCCAGCUCGCUCGUCUUGCUGAAAUGGAGGUAAAGUACAGAUGUAACCAAUCCUAGAAAUUGGCCUCCCACUGGGAGGACUAGCAAAAUUGUUUGCUCAGGCUCGGAGGGUGAUGUCACCAUGGUUAUGCCAGCAACAACAGCCCAGCAAAAGAACAUCGUCAACCUUUCUCAGAGAUCCAAAAUAGUUGCACGUCCUGCAUUUCUACCCUACUUUCUGCUUGUUCCAAUUAUUCAGGAGUUUAAGGAGACCGUGUCUUGCAUUUUGUAAACAAAUUAGGUAAAGCAGCUGGCUGUAUUUGUUGGCUUGUGCACAUUUGGUUUUCGAAUUGUAUUUGUGUAACCAAUCCAUGUUGGUUGUAAUUACUUUAUGAUGUAUAUAUGAUGUUUGGCUCAACAAACAAGAUUGUGCUGCUGCUGUAAAUUAUUUCUGCAGAUUGUGUGAUGAAAUGCGUGAUAG